UUUCAUUUGGAUAUUUCCCCCAAAUAGCAGAGUCUUUCGGCGGGGUUUUCUUGUUCUUCAAAUUUCAAAACCCGGCGAGCGCUUCGACUUGAACUCUGCUCGGGAGGUUAAAGGGUAUCGCCCGCGAAUGCUUGAAUGCGCGACCAAUGAAAGCGCAGGGGAAUUUCGGUGUGAAUACGGAAUAGUUAACAUCGUUAACUAUUACGUAAUUCCGGUUCCAAUGAAUGUCUCGCUGAUCUGAGGAUCUUGAGAUAUGCUUGCCCAUUCCGACUUCGACCGUGGAAUAGGCAGGGCGGACCAGUUUUUUUUGCAUCGCGAGUGGACGGUAAAAAGUUAGUUUAAAAUAAGUUUUUCCGAGAAAUCGAAAAGUGUAAUUCUUCGCUUGUGUUCCCGUUUAGCGAAAUCAAAGGAAGGAGCCGUAUCCUGACCCCAUGAUCGAAGAUUGGAUCUUCGCCACCACAUCAGUCAAACCAGGUGGCCGCGCGAAGCGCGAAUCGUCACUCGAAUCAAGGGAAGGCGCAGCACGGCACCACUACACGUCGGAUGCGCAUUCAACGUCUACGUCCCAUCAUCUACGCCUACGGACUCGUCAUUCAUCGCCUACCGUGGAACGGCGGUAAAGUAGAUGCACGUAAAGCCUAGGUAGUGUGAGUACAAAACUUCUUUCACCCUAAAAAUAACAUGCGCAU